UCAGCUCUGGAUAUAUUCAGAGUCUGCCUAAAUCAGUCAAGCGUCGAAUCAAAGCCUUGAAGAAAUGGCAGUUUGAGGCGGCAAAAAUAGAGGCUGACUUCUAUAAGGAAGUUCACGAGUUAGAAUGUAAAUACGCAUCAAAAUACACUCCACUUUAUGAGAAGAGAAAGACUGUUAUUACGGGUAAUGUGGAACCAACUGAUGAAGAAUGUGACUGGCCUAGCGAUGACGAAAAGGAAGAUGAACAAUUAUCGGUAAAGAAUCCUGCGGAGGACAUGAAAAAUAAAGCAAAUGUAGAAGAAAAGAAAAGGAGGACAAAGACAAAAAAGAAGGAGAAGAUGUGAAGGGAAUUCCACAUUUCUGGUUGACUGUGUUUAAAAAUGUUGACAUGUUGUCAGAAAUGGUUCAGGAACACGAUGAGCCAAUUUUACAACAUUUACAGGAUGUCCAGGUCAAAUUUUCAGACACAGAUUCAAUGGGAUUCACUCUAGAAUUUUACUUUGACACCAAUGAUUUCUUCACAAACACUGUUUUAACAAAGCACUACUCAAUGAGGUCAGAACCUGAUGAAGAGGAUCCUUUCUCAUUUGAAGGCCCAGAAAUUGUCAAGUGCAAAGGUUGUGAGAUAGAUUGGAAGAAAGGUAAAAAUGUAACAGUCAAAACGAUAAAGAAGAAGCAAAAACACAAGGGGAGGGGAACAACUCGCACUGUGACAAAAACAGUACAGAACGAUUCCUUCUUCAACUUCUUCAACCCCCCACAAGUGCCAGAUGAUGAAGAAGGAGAUAUGGAUGAAGAUCUAGAGGCUCUCUUAGCAGCAGAUUUUGAGAUUGGACAUUUUAUAAGGGAGAGGAUUGUUCCGAGAGCCGUGCUGUACUUUACAGGAGAGGCUCUAGAACAAGAUGAUGAUUUUGAUGAAGAAGGUGAAGAGGAGGGAGAGGGAGAGGAGGGGGAGUAUGACGAGGAAGGCGACCCCGAUUAUAACCCGACGAAUGAUCCAAGCAAACCAGCAGAGUGCAAACAACAAUGAUAGCUUCUACAUAGUGACAUCUUAUUUUUACCAGUUUUCUAUUAAAUGGCUUGGGUUAUUUGGAUGCAAAGCAGAGUUCGAUGCACGAAUCUCCAUUUUAAUAGCAUUUAGUGCAAUUAUUUAUUUAAGAUUCCUUUAAAACAAAACAUAAAAGAAAAUUGUGGAAAGUCCCUUGAAGGCCAAGUAUUCUCAAGGAUCGCUUUACUUCGUGAAUUAGUGGAUAUCCUGAAGGAACAAAUAUUUAUAAUUCACGCUCAACAAACGACAAUUUGAUUUCGCUUACCUCCCUUUGAUCUGAAACUUAGUUGUCAGAGACGCACAAAUCUCCCCCCUUCGUGUUUGUGUAUGUGCUUGUUCAUGAAGCGAUUGGAUUUUGUUAAAAUAUAUAUUUUUGCUUUGUUCAUAUAUGUUUACAAAGAGACAAGACAUCAGAUGUAUACAUUUUCAUGUAAUAAUCUGUGAUUGAUAUCAACAUCGGAUUCCAUUGAUUAGUCAACCAGUUAAUUUCACUAAAAUGCAUGUUAAUGUUAUUGUCAAAGAAAAUAAAGAAAAAUCUACUGUUUGUAAUG
rnacentral:misc_RNA from 1 species